UGGCUGUAUCCCAAGUGGAAUUGAAUG
rnacentral:piRNA from 1 species